UUCCUUGCAAAGGAAAGGAGCAACCAGUUUCCUCCUGUGCUGACUUUCAUCAAACCUUGCACAGCAAGAACAGCUUUGUUCAACAUUUGAACCCCAGCCUUCCACUGCAACCACCAGCACCGUCUCUUCAAAGACUGGUAACGUUGAACUGGGCUUAAAUAGCAUAGCAUGGCACGGCUAUGCACAUGUGACAGGUCGUCUCCCUCCCUGCCACUAUAUGGCACUGUGCCAACUUAUUGGGCAUUCUAAAUGAGGGGCAGCACAGUGCACCCUUACAUAUAGAGGUGCAGACACACCCGUCUCUUCCUUUCCCUCCGGUGGCUGCUGCCUGGUUCUUGCAGUAGUUCAGCGUGGCCGUUGCAGUUGUACGAUCCUCCUCAUUCAGGUGAUGCUCUCUGCCGGGCCUCCAUUGUGCAUCUGUGCAUAAAUGGGCAUUUUGGUGACACCAUCUCCACUCUUUGCAGCUGAGCGGCUGCUGGGGCUGUGGGAGAUGAAGCGCUCUGCCAGAGGCCCUUGCUGGAUGCGCUCACCUGUUCCUUUCACUGAGUGAUUGACCCGCGGCAUGAGCUGUUAUUCCUCCGAUGGUCUGGGGCAUCACUCUAGCUUUGCGUCGUGAGGCCGUGGUGAAUCGUUGGCCUGUGUCCAGCCAUCCUUCCUGAAGAUCCAUGCUGCUGUUUUGGCUCUAUGAAAUUGUUGGACGUGCUUGCUCUCACUGACUUUCAGUUUGUUAAUCAGCUGUGUGGCUGCCCCAUGAAUGUGUCCUAACUCGAGCUGUUCAGUUAAGCCGUUUUUGGCGUGGGCCUGGCUCUUCAGUUCGUGGUCACUAUUAAAUAAAGCUGCCGACUUCUGAGCCAUUUAAAGAGCAUUCCACUGUUUUCAUUGAUUUGUGCCUUAAUAAUUAGUUCCCAUUUUGUUAUUUUGUGUUCUUUGGACGUAUUUUGUUUUCAUUGUUUUGUCACACCAGCCCUGUGUUGCACCCUGUUGCAUGUUUUAACUUGUUUUGUGUGUUUUGGUUAGGUGCUGUGGUCCAAGGCGGCAGUUCAGUCCCUGGUGGUGGUCCCCCUCACGAGUGUCCAGUGUGUGUGUGUGUGAGUGCUGUUUCACAGUUGUUUCAAUUUACAGACCUCCCUAUUUUUGGUUCGGCCCUGCCGCCUGUAAACUACAGCCCUGCUUUUUAAUCUCUGCUAGUGCAGGGUGCUAAUUAACUGUGUUAACUGGUGUGUGUGUGUGUGUGUGUGUGUGUGUGUGUGUGUGUGUGUGUGUGUGUGUGUGUGUGAUCUUUUCAGAAUCAGAAUCAGAAUUCCUUUAAUGUCCCGCAGAUGGGACAUUAAAGGGUCAUUACAGAGACCUAUUACAAGAACAGAAACAAUAGCAAAAAUAAGCAAUACAAUUAUAAAGGGAAGAAGUAGACAUAUAUACAUAUUUACAUGAUAUAGUGCAAAACUUAACAGCAG